GGGGCCUCGGCUUAAUUUGCUCAACACGGGGAAACUCACCAGGUCCAGACACAAUGGGAUUGACAGAUUGAUAGCUCUUCUUGAUCUUGUGGUUGGUGGUGCAUGGCCGUUCUUAGUUGGUGGAGUGAUUUGUCUGGUUAAUUCCGAUAACGAACGAGACCAUCCCCUGCUAAAUAGCCCGGCCGGCUUUGGCUGGUCGCUGGCUUCUUAGAGGGACUUUUAGCGUUUAGCUAAAGGAAGUUGGUGGCAAUAACAGGUUAACGUCUAUAAUCACAGGCCUGUAAAAGCGGUGGUGCCAACUUAUAAGUGCUAGUGAUCUAGUGCUACAAAAUCCGCUAGUCCAAGAGGUUAAUCGAUGCGGAAAAGCUUUCCAUAGUCGGGCAUCGAGAGUGUUUUAACUAACACUUGCUUCUGGGCGACACAACCUGGUACAGGGAACGCCAAACAGGUAAUGCUGAGGUCGAUCCUGUGGUGAGUUAGAGUAGCGUCUAACCAUCGCAACGCGCGCAAAGGUGUGGGUCUUAUCUGUGAUAAGGCUUAAGGUACGUGCUAAUCCCACUAGUAAUAGUGGUUUGCUUAGGAGGCCCACAGCUAAAUCAAGUAAAGGGUUUGGACUUGUAAGUUCAGACCGGAAUCCAUUA
rnacentral:rRNA from 1 species